rnacentral:rRNA from 1 species
AUGCCAAGCCUUGUUCUCCCACCCGGAAUAGCAGCAAAGUAUAUCUCAAUAGGACUCAAGGAUAUACAAGAGGCGCCAAGGGAGCAGCCGAUCAAUGAGGAGCUAACCAUAACUAAAAUCGAGUCUGUGAUAAGUAUGUGGAAGAUUCCGUAUGCCAACGAGGUCCCGCCAGACCUUGAGAUUCUGAUUCGACACCUUGAAGCAGUGGUGGCUCGUCUGGGAGGAAAAGGUGGUCUUGCCACUUCCCACACAUCGGCACCCGCGCCGGUGCAAGUGUCAUCUCUGUUGGAGAAACUCUAUGCAGCUCAUGCGGGGAUCACUCAAGGACUUUGCCGCCUCGAGAAGGAAGGGCCGCGCCUAGAGGGGCGCCUUGCCGACCUCGCCUCCAUCUGCAACAGACAAAAGAAGUUGGCCGAAGAACAUCAGAUGCUUGCCAGCAAAAAUCAGCAGCUUGCUAAGGAGUACAAGGCCCUCUGUGAGAAGGAAACGGAGAUGACGGCACUGGCUGAAAAGCGCACGUGCGUCCUAGCUGACAUGAUGACUUCUAGCUCCCGCCAUCUUGAAGCUCAUGAGGAUGCAGUCCGGAGUUCGUCACAGGUGGCCGAGCCAUACACAAGACAUCGUGCGGAGGCGGUUGCCUUCCUGGCUGCCGGCGGAACACUUCCGGAGAUCGUGACAAUCCUAUCAUAUAAAGCUCCUGAGUGA